UGCACAGUUGGACACACGUGCUUUGUGGU
rnacentral:piRNA from 1 species